rnacentral:lncRNA from 1 species
GCUCAAGCGAUUUUCCUGCCUCAGCCUCCCGAGUGGCUGGGAUUACAGGCGCACACCACCAUGCCCAGCUAACUUUUGUAUUUUUAGUAGAGACGGGGUUUCCCCAUGUUGACCAGGCUGGUCUCAAACUCCUGAUCUCAGGUGAUCCACCUGCCUCAGCCUACCAAAGUGCUGGGAUUACAGCUCUUUUCUUGGAAGAGAAGAAACCGUUUCAAAAAAUUAUUAAGGGAGCAACAAAGGGCUGUUUUGUACAUUCAUUACAUUCACGAGCCCCAGCAGCUACUAUUAAUGAGUGUCUGGAAUAUGUUCCUGGCAUUUCACCUACCCUCUCUCCAAUCCUUCCAAGAAACUCACAAAGCAGGGCUUUUUCUUGAACUUCUCUUCCUCACAACAGUUAAAUCAUCCAUUUAAAGAUGUCAAACAACCUCCGUGUUCUAAGAUGCUGGACCCCUGAAUAUGGAGGGCCAACUACACUAGAAACACACACGCUAGCUGAGAAAGAUGGUGGCUUAAGGGACACAGCAUGUACAACCUCACAUAGAGUUCCUGACCAGACAAGACUUGCUGGAAAUUUCCCAGGAUCUUCCUUCCUUAAGCAUCCAUCAUGGGAAGCCACCUUGCCCUAGGGAGAGCUCCUGACCUAGGGUCAGGAAUAUAUUAAGGAAGACAGCAAUUAAUACAUUCAAAAAUAAUAAUAAUUACAAAUUAUGUCUCUGUGUUAGGAAAACUUGGAUAAGCAGGUCCAUAGAAAUUCCUCUGCUAGCCCUGUCUCCUGGAAUUUCUACAUAAUGGCAUAUCCUCAGUUUGAAUAGCUCUCUGGUUCCAGUUUGAAGCUGAAAAGGUUAAAUUCUACCUGAAGGAUGAAAACAACCAACAUUCUGUGCCAAGACAGUCAGGAGGGCAACCAUGUUUCCUGGUGGAGCCUCUGGAACCACUCAAGCCAAGAUGACCGGGGGUUUGGCUGGGAGGAGAUGGGGAAACUACAGACCCUACAGAUGGUUUCCUGUACCAUGAGGUUAAGCCUGGGGGCAGGAGAGGCUGUACCUUAGUUCCUUCAUCUGUAAAAUAAAGUAACAUAGUACCUACCUCA